ensembl:lncRNA
AAGCAAACUGAAAUUCAUAAUUCAUUGUGGAAGUUCUUAUCCUGAUUUCUUCUAAUUUCUCUCUAGACUUAUAAAGCCUUCCUCCCAGCGAUGACUGCCAACAACCAUGGUCACCUGGUCAGUGUUGCUAGCACAGCGGGUAUGAUUGGUGUCAAUGGACUAGCAGGUACUUCCCCAGGAGAUCCAUAUGCAUCUACCUCAAGGAACUACGAGGACACGGUGAGGAGAGCUGUCCUUUGCUGUCCUUUCCUGUCCUGCUCCCAGAGAUCAACCAAGUGCUAUUCACCAAGCAUGCUGUCACAGAUGCUAUAAUGAAACAGAAACAAAGAUGAGUCCUCAAUCUAUCUCUAUGGCCUGUUGUCCACACGCUAAUCUUCCCGCUCAUUGGCUAGAAUGGUCCCACCUGAUCUCGCCUCCUCCCGACUGCCUUCCAUCUUUGAGGGCAUUGUCAUGACAUGGCCCUCUUUGGGUAUAGCGAGUGCCUUCCCCCUCUCUCCAUUUUACACCCAGGUUCUGUUAUCUCAGGUCGUAAAUUCCUAGAGGAGACUCUCCUCAUGGCCAGGCAGUAUAGUCAGAGAGUUUCACAGUAGAACAAAGGAACUUCCUCUACAUCACAGAACUUGAGAACUGAACAAUAUUUAUAUUCUGGAGAAUGUGGAAACGGUCGGUGGAGAAUCCAGCUACGACCGGUCCAUUUUGUUUUAUGAUUGUGACCUCAGGAAAGACAAUACAGCCACAUAAACAUAACUCUGUUUAUACAGGAGCCUCCGUUCUGAGGCUUGCAUCUAAUUAUUGUAUAAAAUGAAUGAGUAAAGAUGAAACUAUUUGUGAAAUUGUGUAAUGUGAUUUUAAACCUUUAAUGUGAGAGAAUUGUAUUUCUGUUUAAAGUUUCACUAAGUCAUUGGUGAGCACAGACAUCGUGCCCCCAUGAGCACAGACAUCGAUCUGGCGUCAUGGGACAGCUUUUCCACAGUUCCAAAUAAAACCCCCACCUGGAGAAGCACACUUCAGACCAUGCGUACCUCGAUUACCGAGAGGGCUAAGGUUUGAGUAGAGACCAUGCAUUCCUCGGUCAUCUGAGGGAGCUAAGGUUGUAGCGGUUGUUGAACCACGUGGAGCAUUGGCUACACUGGUGGAAAUGGUUCAACUCUGAGACUAUCGAUACCGACAGAAUAAGAGCAAAUCUUCGAUACUAAUUACUAGUCUGCAGCUAGAAUUUAUGUCGACCUGGAAUGCGAAGACCGACAACCGCCGAAACAUUUAUUCUACAAGAACAUUUCUGAAUGGGACUCUGAAGUAUCCAUUCUAACCACGAAAGACUCCAGGGACGCAAAGAGAAGUUCAGAUGAACUUUUCAACAGAAAGACUGACGAUUCCAACAGAGAUCACGACGACACACUGAGCGUAAAUAUAUAUAUUGAUUGCAAUUAUUCCCGAAUGAGUGAGCAUUCGUGUGCAAAGGAUUAGCAUUUCAAUUAUUAUAAUUAUCAACUGUGUAGUGUAUUUUGUCUUUCGCGCCCUUCUCAGUCCCUUUGUCUACCAAGCCGCCAUGCCGGUUUAGCCCACUAGGGCACAUCCCCUAUCAUUUCCUUGUAACCAUAUCUACUUUGUUUGUUU